rnacentral:rRNA from 2 species
UAGGGAAUCUUCCGCAAUGGACGAAAGUCUGACGGAGCAACGCCGCGUGAGUGAUGAAGGUUUUCGGAUCGUAAAACUCUGUUGUUAGGGAAGAACAAGUACGAGAGUAACUGCUCGUACCUUGACGGUACCUAACCAGAAAGCCACGGCUAACUACGUG